AUGUUUAGCAGUUUCCCUGGUCUCCACCUACCAGAUGCCAGUUGCACCUACCAAGUUCUGACACCCAAAAUGUCUUCAGACAUCGCCAAAUGUCCCCUGGGGGACAAAAAUCAACCCUGGUUGAGAACCACUGGGUUGGAAUACAAGCCUGAAAAACCGCUCCCAGUCUGCCGGUUGAAAUGCUACCUUGUCCAGGAAUUGUUUCUUGACUUUCCCAGGAGGAAGAACAUCUUAGACUCACUUCCAAUCCAAUUUCCAACCCUGAAAAUGCAAGAUCUUCCACAAAUGCAGAAUCUUCACAGUGGGCUGAUUUCUUUAAGGAACUGGGAUAAAAAUAACAAUAAGGUCAAGACCACAGUGACCUCUGGACUCCAGCCCCUGGCUAAGAAUGCAAUCUACCUGUCCACGGGCCAGUGUGAUGCAAGAUGUCAAGGGAUGGUGAUCACUGAGAGACCAAAGAUUUCCUCUGAAUUUGCCUGGAUUUUCACACUUGAUUGUUCACUGUCAAAAGGAAGAACAGGUGUACCUACAGCAACCUGGCUGCAGAAAUCUACAUUCUCCUUAUUCUGAGAAACCCCCCAAAAUACUACCACCAAAGUAGAAACCAAAUUUAUCCUGAAUUGACAUGUACCCCCUAACCCCAGCCCAACUCCAUACUCCUCUCUGUCAAGGAAGCAAAAUCAAUUUCCUUUGCUUUAGAUACCAGCAUGUAGGCUUGUGGACUUCCAAAUGCUGUCUUCCAAGAACUUGGAGUUUAAACACGAUCCCUUGGGUGAUAUGUCCAAAGAAGUUCUCACUGAAAUUCCCCGCAUCGUAAAAUGUCAGGAUGUCUGCGGUCUUUAUUUAUAGACAGAUUGCUUUUCAACUUUUCUCACUCCAACAUUUCAAUGUGUUAUUCCUGAAGAUAAAUGCAC
rnacentral:lncRNA from 1 species